CGAGAAGACCCUAUGGAGCUUUAGACACAAAGGACAGAUCAUGUUAAACACCCCCAAUAAAGGCCUAAACUUAAUGAUCCCCUGUCCUAAUGUCUUCGGUUGGGGCGACCAAGG
rnacentral:rRNA from 1 species